rnacentral:rRNA from 1 species
UACGUAGGGGGCAAGCGUUGUCCGGAUUUAUUGGGCGUAAAGAGCGUGUAGGCGGCUUUGCAAGUCCGUUGUGAAAACUCGAGGCUCAACCUCGAGACGCCGGUGGAAACUGCAAAGCUAGAGUCCGGAAGAGGAGAGCGGAAUUCCUGGUGUAGCGGUGAAAUGCGCAGAUAUCAGGAAGAACACCCGUGGCGAAGGCGGCUCUCUGGGACGGUACUGACGCUGAGACGCGAAAGCGUGGGAGCGAACAGG